rnacentral:lncRNA from 1 species
AGAGGCCUGCAGCACACAGUCAGGCCUGAAAUGUAUAGAAUAUCAAAUUAUUCUAUUGUUAUUCUUCAAACACAGCACAACCAUGAUGUGUAUUUGUACAAGGCAGUGAUGCAGGAUCAUGGAUUUCUAGUCUCAAACAAAAGCUUGGCUGGUGAACAACAGAGAUACAAGAACCUGCCAACAGCAGACCUGAACUCCUGCACACCUGCAGCUAAUGGCAGGUUUAUUCAUGUGCCAGAACACAUACCGAGCCAGGGACAGAGAAACACAGAAAGAGUGAGGGGGGAUGGAAGGACAUGAAAGGGCGAGGAAAGAACAGAAAAGAGAAGAAGAAGAAGACAGCAUCAAACACAGGUCAAACCUCCAAAGUGUAUGAUAGACUGUGUCUGAUUCUUAAAGGAACAGUUGAACCAAAAUUACAAUUUUCUCACUAUCAUGUUGUUUCAAGUUCAUUUGUUUUAUGAAACACAAAACUAUAUUUGCCAAUAUGACGACUAGAGGUGUUAAGCUUUUAAAACGCCAUUAAUUAAAGUAUUAUAAAAGUGAUCCAUAAAUCUAUUUACAUACAGACAUUUACCACCACUGACAAAUAUGACAGCACUUAAAUGCUAUUGAUUUUCAUUAUAAGAAACACUUUAUCCUAAACCAUGCCAAUUAAUCUUUAUUAUUUCUCUGUAUCUAAAAGAAUAUUAAUUCCUCCCUAGAAAGCAAAGUAUAGGUCUCUUAAGAUAUAUUCAUAAUUUCACUCUCCUUUUCUCAUUAUAGGUUUAAAACAAUUAGGCAAACUUCAUCUGACCUACCAUAUUCAGCUAGAUUUCAAUAGAACUAUAUUCAAACAAUAGCUGAUCCUUCAUUUAGUGAGGAAAUUAAAUAUUUAAAUUCAGUGAGCGUUAAGUUGUUAAGUUGAACACAGGCGUUAAGUUGUAAUUAAACUUUUCUCCAUUAAGAACCCAACCAACACUGUUGCCAUUUCUUAUCAUUCGAUGCUUUUCAAGAUAAUGAGAACAGAUUAUGUGACAACAUAAAUCUACAGUUACUGCCUCAAAAUGUUUAACCCCUGUUCAUCCACAUCUUUAUUAUGCAGAAAAAGUUUCUCAUAAAGUUUCUAGAACAUAAAUUAUUAAGUAUUUCCAUGAUACUGUGUCCCACCAACCAAAAAAACACUAACAGCACAUUCCUGUCAAGCGUAUCUUAUAAACACUGAUAUACAUUAACAUAUAACUCGCCCCAAUCCAGUUAAAACUGCUUUCAUUCACGUAAACAAAU